rfam:Termitomyces sp. J132 unplaced genomic scaffold C241365, whole genome shotgun sequence.
ACGAGUAUAGUUAAGUGGUAUAGCAUCUACCUUCCAAGUAGAGAUCAUCAGUUCGAAUCUGAUUACUCGUA